rnacentral:sRNA from 1 species
CUUAACGUGCUUCGGCUGCGGAGCCGGCUGCGGAGCCGGCUGCGGAUUGAUGUGGCGCAUGUUGGCACUUGCAAAUGCCGAUGCAGAUGCAGCUGGUUUGUAUCUAUCGGAUGCAUGGACAUGCACACAGACACAUGUUUCUGUUAGAUACGUAUUACGUACAUGUAGCCCGCGGCGGGACUGAACAACUUGAUGAGAUAAUCACACGCCAAAAUGUCUUGUCUUACACUUUGAGUCAUUGUCCGUAGAAGUAGUGGAGUGGGUACUCGAACUCGAACCUUAAGUUCAGCAGGUGCUAUCUUCGCAAAGUUUAGCCAAAGAUAAAGAUACCAUUAGUAUUUAAAGCACAUUUCCGUCUAUUUUACACUUAGCAGAGAUCUGCCAGCGGAAAGCAAACCUCAGAAUAUCCGAAAGAUGCGAUGAAGCUACAGAAAUGCUAAACAAAUUACGCAAUUAACAGAGGCGGCGGGAACGGGGGCUGGUUCGGUACGGCCCAGGUUAAUGCCCAAAGAUCACACAUUCUGGGCAAAAUGCUCGGAAAGCCAGAGUAAACUUUUUAUAGUUUCGUCACAAGCUGGCGGAGCUGAUAAACCGGACAUAUGGCGCAUUAACUCACUGUUUCCACGCGUUUCGCACGCUCUCUUCUUGGCCGUCGGAUCUGUUUGUACAUUAAUCUAUCUUUAUACGAUUGCCCACAGACCGACCCCACAACAGGCAUUUAGGUGGCUUCCAUUACUGUUCCAUCUUGGGUUACGUUCUGCCGUUAUGCGAUAGGUUUUGGCCUGGUUAGGCCUCAAGCACACUAGAGAGGCACUCGAGGCCCCUCGAGAAGCGAUUUGGGUCAGAGGCGACUGCGCAAUAUCAGGGAGGAGGAGUACUCCGCCUCUGCCCUCCCAAGAUUACAUCUAAUGGCGAUAAUAUUCGCAUGAAAUCAUCUAGUGCUGACGUUGACUUCCGCUCGCCUCACACAAAGUUGAAAUAUGGGCGUGAUCCGCGCUAGAGUCAAGUUCAAAGCGCUGCGUGGGCGACUCUUUCCGUGGAAUGUGUGGAGCCACUUGGUGUGGGCUCCGGAAAGUGCUCGAGACAUGACAAGUGCAACUGGACGCAGUUGAUUGCGGAGUGUGUGGGUGUCGGAUGCUGCUGGUGAAAGGUAAUGUUUGUCAAACAAAUGCAUGAGAUCAGGGAAAGCUUUUGGAAAUGACAGAUGCAUCCGAGAAAUCUUCGAUCAAAGAUGUGAAAAAUGCUUUCUAUUCGUCAUGUCAUAAUCGACAAUUAAACUGAAAUAAAAUAUAAUAUUUCAACCACAAUUUUAUCGUAUGAAUUAAUCAAUUGCUGACCCAUUUGCCUGAGCAAGCGGAUAGAAUUAUAUACGUCCAUUACACACAAAUAGCGUUCAUAUAAAUCAUGUCAACUGAUAUCGGCAGCUGCCUAUUGGAGAAUUGAAAUUGGGUUCAAUUCACUCGUCGAUUGUAAUUUUCGUGUUCAGCCAACGCGUGCUUGGGCUUUGUAUCCGUUGGAUACGUUAUUGUUUCCCAAGCUAAAGCCAAUUAUUUUUGGGCUUUAUCUGACCCCAUGCCGCCUGCUACUCAGCAAUUAGUUUGCGCUUCAACGCGUAAUUAACUUUGACAUUUUUCUGCGCUACUUUUUCCGCGCCAACCACACAAAAGAUAGCGGAUUGGCACAAAAAGCUAUAGCCUGUUGACUCUGUAUAUGUAUCUGCGAUUGGACGGCGAUGUGACUGGAAAUUGCUCAAUUUUGACUGGUUUUGGGGCCCCCCUUUGGACAAACCGGUCAAAAUCGUUCUACCAAAUUUGACAGGUCCAAAGCACGCGGCAUUUUUGGUUUUUAUUUAUUUCUCCGAUUUCCCCGAUUUCUGCUAUUCCGGCUCCCCCACUUGAGUCGCCAGAUACGCUUUUUUUUUGUCAAAUUGCUGCUGCUGGGGCUUUCAAUCACAACACGACUUGCCUUAUAAAUCAAUUAAAACCGUUGCAGCUGCAAACUCAAUUGCAGCCUUUGAAGUUGCAUUUGCCGCCAGAGAACUGCGUCAUGAUUUUGCCAUUACUUGGAGCAGCGGCACGCACGGCGGACAGCGUUGCAAAGAUACAAAUGUGCGUAUCCGUGAGAUACACACUGUCAAGUGUCGCGGCGCUCUGUCAGCGUUCUUCAGGGUCAGGGAGGCGGCGGCGGUGACAUUGAACGCGUUCAAAAACUCAAUCGCCGAGGAUAUUUCGGAUUUUGGGCUUUCGUUUUCCCCGCCAAGCGAAAGUCAAAUCAUAAAGCGAUUGCCAUCAAAAUGAUUCAUAAGCGAGGCGCUCUCGUCGAAUAGAAAACAAAAUACACGAAAUGCUUAUAAAUAGUUCGCAAGGUCGCGAGAAUUCAACCGGGAGAUCUAGAAACUAGCGGCUAGAGGUUUAGAAAUAAUAACAACAAAGCUGCCUCGGCUACCUUAGAAGGCAUAUAGUGGAUAUAUUGAAGUGCCCCCAGAUUCUGUGCACAGUGGUCAGUCAAUGGGCCUUCUUCAAUCACCCAGUCAGCACCUGUUGGCCAACUUUUCGGCGCCACUGUGGCCAUCGGCCGUCCCAUCUGGCGUAGGUGUGCGAACGCCUUCGUUUAUUCUGCCAUAAUGUAUUUUCGUGUGUAGUAUCAUUCUGCUUUUUUUGUUUGCCAUAUAUUUGUGGACGUUUUAUCUGCUGCCUUGUAAAUUGAAUAGAUGGAUGUGCGUCACUGAACUUUGCGCUGAAGCGCGCCAUCCAUCGAACUUGAAAAUCUUGGCAAUUUCCUAUAUUUUCUAUAAUUAUGGCCCAGGGGAGUGUCUACUUGAAAUUCUGUGCUUGGCUCCUCGAUUUGAGCUUGAAUGUGAUUUUUAUGGAUCGCAGCAGAGGCGAAUAACUAAAAAGUGGCUCACAUUGCGUAUACGCCUCCGCACUCCAGCUCCUGGACUGGCUGCCGUCUGGCCUACUUGGCCCAUCUUGACCCCUGGUGCCCUAACCUGUUUGUGUCGGAGAUCUCCUAAAAAGCCAAUCUGGGACUUCUCAAUGCCGUUCGCAAUGCUGACAUCAUAUCGAGCUAUAUGCAACUAUAUAGAAGCAACUGCUGGCUGCCGUUUCUCCCAAUAUGUCUACGCUCAAUUGGGUCAGGCGAUCGACGAUCUGUGAUCACUGAUCAGAAAUGAAAACAAACAGUAGCAUUAUUUUCUUAUUA